rnacentral:rRNA from 1 species
ACACCGCCCGUCGCUCCUACCGAUCGAGUGUUUAGGUGAAUUUGAUGGACGUAAGGAAGUCAAAUAAGCCUGAGCACUUAGAGGAAGGAGAAGUCGUAACAAGGUUUCCGUAGGUGAACCUGCGGAAGGAUCAUUCCAUUAGCGCGCGAUUCAUUGGUUCUCAACCUGCGUAAGCAGCGUAAUAAAGGUUUUUUAGCUUUGGAGGUGUCGGGUACUGAUCCGAGGAAGGACGCAGUUACACGCGAUAUUCAACCUGAAUCGCAAAACUGCGGAUGGUCGGGUGUCUGAAUGCUCAAAGCCGGAGCUACUGGUCACGCUCUAACACACCCCUUCGGUGUCUCACUUCCGCGUGAUGUGAGAAUUCCAAAAUAUUUUCACGUGACCACUAGCGGGGCAUGUAGUUAAUUUAAGCUUAUAAGUUAAUACACAAAGAAACUAAAUAGGAUGGACCGAGUAGUGGCGAAUGAAAAGUCCAAAGACCGAUCCGAAUUCAAGUUGUGGAUCCUACACUUCGGAAGACUCCAAAUCACCUGGAACGGUGGGCCGUAGAGAGUGAUAGCCUCUUUAGAGUCGGAAGAAGC